rnacentral:rRNA from 1 species
AUUGAACGCUGGCGGCAGGCCUAACACAUGCAAGUCGAGCGAGCGGCGGACGGGUGAGUAAUGUAUGGGGACUGCCCGAUAGAGGGGGAUAACUACUGGAAACGGUAGCUAAUACCGCAUACUAUCGGAUAACCCAUAUGUGCUUAGCUAGUAGGUCAGGUAAUGGCUCACCUAGGCGACGAGCCAUAGCUGGUCUGAGAGGAUGAUCAGUCACACUGGGACUGAGAAACGGCCCAGAAUCCUACGGAGGCAUCAGGGGGGAAUAUUGCACAAUGGGCGCAAGCCUGCUGCAUCCAUGCCGCGUGUAUGAAGAAGGCCCUAGGGUUGUAAAUUACUGUCAGUCGGGAGGCGUUACCGACAGAAGAAGCACCGGCUAACUCCGUGCCAGCAGCCGCGGUAAUAC